rnacentral:rRNA from 1 species
AGUCGGACGGCAGCACAGAGAAGCUUGCUUCUUGGGUGGCGAGUGGCGAACGGGUGAGUAACAUAUCGGAACGUACCGAGCAGUGGGGGAUAACUAAUCGAAAGAUUAGCUAAUACCGCAUAUAUUCUGAGGAAGAAAGCAGGGGACCAUUUGGCCUUGCGCUGUUUGAGCGGCCGAUAUCUGAUUAGCUAGUUGGUGGGGUAAAGGCCUACCAAGGCGACGAUCAGUAGCGGGUCUGAGAGGAUGAUCCGCCACACUGGGACUGAGACACGGCCCAGACUCCUACGGGAGGCAGCAGUGGGGAAUUUUGGACAAUGGGCGCAAGCCUGAUCCAGCCAUGCCGCGUGUCUGAAGAAGGCCUUCGGGUUGUAAAGGACUUUUGUCAGGGAAGAAAAGGAUAGGGUUAAUACCCCUGUCUGAUGACGGUACCUGAAGAAUAAGCACCGGCUAA